GUGUGUUAGGUGUGUGUGUGUUAGGUGUGUGUGUGUUAGGUCUGUGUGUGUGUGUUAGCUGUGGGUUAGGUGUGUGUGUGUGUUAGGUGUGUGUGUGUUAGGUCUGUGUGUGUGUGUUAGCUAUGGGUUAGGUGUGUGUGUUAGGUGUGUGUGUUAGGUGUGUGUGUUAGCAGUGUGUUAGGUGUGUGUGUUAGGUGUGUGUGUUAGCAGUGUGUUAGGUGUGUGUGUUAGCAGUGUGUUAGGUGUGUGUGUUAGCAGUGGCAGUGUGUUAGUUUGUGUGUGUUAGCAGUGUGUUAGGUGUGUGUGUGUGUGUUAGCAGUGUGUUAGGUGUGUGUGUGUUAGCAGUGUGCUAGGUGUGUGUGUUAGCAGUGUGUUAGGUGUGUGUGUGUGUGUUAGCAGUGUGUUAGGUGUGUGUGUUAGCAGUGGCAGUGUGUUAGUUUGUGUGUGUUAGCAGUGUGUUAGGUG
ensembl:lncRNA